rnacentral:rRNA from 1 species
UACGUAGGGUGCAGGCGUUAAUCGGAAUUACUGGGCGUAAAGCGUGCGCAGGCGGUUUCUUAAGUCAGAUGUGAAAGCCCCGGGCUUAACCUGGGAACUGCGUUUGAAACUGGGAGACUUGAGUGUGGCAGAGGGGGGUGGAAUUCCACGUGUAGCAGUGAAAUGCGUAGAUAUGUGGAGGAACACCGAUGGCGAAGGCAGCCCCCUGGGUUAACACUGACGCUCAUGCACGAAAGCGCGGGGAGCAAACAGG